UGAUGAUGAUGAGGGCAGCUCAUCAACAUCGAUUUAAACCUGUCCCAAGCUUGGUACAGGUUCUCACCACCAUUCUGCCUAAAACUUAAAAUAUCACUCCUUAAGUU
rnacentral:snoRNA from 1 species